ACACAUGCAAGUCGAACGCGAAAGGGGCUUCGGCCCUGAGUAGAGUGGCAGACGGGUGAGUAACGCGUGGGUGACCUACCCUCGAGCGGGGGAUAACGUUCCGAAAGGGACGCUAAUACCGCAUGACAUCCUGUCCUUGGACGGAUGGUGAUCAAAGCUGGGGAUCGCAAGACCUGGCACUCGAGGAGGGGCCCGCGUCCGAUUAGCUAGUUGGUGAGGUAACGGCUCACCAAGGCUCCGAUCGGUAGCCGGCCUGAGAGGGCGGACGGCCACACUGGGACUGAGACACGGCCCAGACUCCUACGGGAGGCAGCAGUGGGGAAUUGUUCGCAAUGGGCGCAAGCCUGACGACGCAACGCCGCGUGGAGGAUGAAGAUCUUCGGGUCGUAAACUCCUGUCGAAUGGGACGAAUGGCUCGGCCGUGAAUAACGGCUGGGAAUGACGGUACCGUGAGAGGAAGCCCCGGCUAACUCCGUGCCAGCCGCCGCGGUAAUUCA
rnacentral:rRNA from 1 species